rnacentral:rRNA from 1 species
UACGUAGGGUGCGAGCGUUAAUCGGAAUUACUGGGCGUAAAGCGUGCGCAGGCGGCUUGCCAAGUCAGAUGUGAAAGCCCCGGGCUCAACCCGGGAAUGGCGUUUGAAACUGGCAGGCUAGAGUUUGGCAGAGGGGGGUGGAAUUCCACGUGUAGCAGUGAAAUGCGUAGAGAUGUGGAGGAACACCAGUGGCGAAGGCGACUUUCUGGUCUGUAACUGACGCUGAGGCGCGAAAGCGUGGGGAGCAAACAGG